rnacentral:tRNA from 1 species
GGGAGGAUUUGAUAAUUGGUAAUAAACUGUAUUUACAUUACAGUAAUGAUAGUUCAAGUCUAUCUUUCUCUA